GUGGGGAAUCUUAGACAAUGGGGGAAACCCUGAUCUAGCCAUGCCGCGUGAGCGAUGAAGGCCUUAGGGUUGUAAAGCUCUUUCAGCUGGGAAGAUAAUGACGGUACCAGCAGAAGAAGCCCCGACUAACUCCGUGCCAGCAGCCGCGGUAAUACGGAGGGGGCUAGCGUUGUUCGGAAUUACUGGGCGUAAAGCGCACGUAGGCGGACUGGAAAGUCAGGGGUGAAAUCCCGGGGCUCAACCCCGGAACUGCCUUUGAAACUCCCAGUCUUGAGUUCGAGAGAGGUGAGUGGAAUUCCGAGUGUAGAGGUGAAAUUCGUAGAUAUUCGGAGGAACACCAGUGGCGAAGGCGGCUCACUGGCUCGAUACUGACGCUGAGGUGCGAAAGCGUGGGGAGCAAACAGGAUUAGAAACCCCUGUAGUCC
rnacentral:rRNA from 1 species